CACCGACCGAGAGAGACAGAAAAGGAGGCGGUCGAGGGAAUCUGAGAAGGCGCACAAGGUUUGUGUCCAAUACGCUCCACACCUUGCGCUACUCAGGUCUGCUCGUGCCCUCCCAUGGUAUCAGCUCUCCUGCGAUGUGGGGA